UGUGCCGGAGGAGCACAACCAGAUCCGACCCCUCCCACUGGAAUUGCCAGAAUUGUCUUGACGGGAACCUCAGUCAGUUCCUCAGUCAGUGACCACGAGGUGGCGCUAGCCGUAGGACCCGAGAGCCGCACCAUCACCUCAUCCCUCGUGCCCAUGUGAAGAAUGACUCCCCAUUUGGCAUUCCGCUUUGGAUCGUUUUUGCUGGCCAGUGUCUCAAGACAGAAUUGCGUGGCCUAAUACAAGUGCCUCCCGAGAGGCAAAGGAACCUCAUGGAACCGUUUACGGGAGCAAAGUAUGGGAGCCGCUUCUCCCGUACAGAGUCUAUGACCUUCUACAGAGAGAUGCUGGACCACUAAGGUCAGUUCUUACGUGCUUGAACUCUUUACUUUUUACCUACAGUUGUUGGCAUGAGCCUUGAGUCUCAUGUGAUAUUCAUCUUCAUUUAGUCGGCUUAAAGCUUAAGAUAUGAAGAAUAUGUCAGAAAUCAUACAAAGACAACUUCAAGAAUGGGAGAAUCCGUGUGGUCUUAUUGCCUUUGGUAAAAGCGCCCCUGUAGCCACAUAAAUGUUUGAACGAGGACAUUUUUCCUUUUCUAAUAUGAAUGUUCCACAAGGCAUUGGAAAUACCCUCUCUUCUUGAUUUUUUGACUCACAUUUCACCCUGACAUCUGCACAGCGGCAGCGUCAGAUCACAGUAAGCUGUCCCCUUCUUACUUCGUAAGUCAGGGCUUACGGCAUCAAUUGUAUCUGAAUACACCAAAAGCUUGCAAGGGGACAGAGCAAAGAGAGAGGGUGACUUCUCAACCCUUGAUGAUUGUCGGUCUAUGGAAGAAUAGGGCGCCUGUCACUCAUGAGGUACAUAAAGCUGGUUUGAAGGAAACAUCUGCGGUGGGAGCGCCCGUUGUUUCCUGUGUCUACUGGGAAAGAUGUAAACUGCCGAGAGAUGAAACGCCUUCUCAUCUUUGAGACUUGCGAAGCACUAGCCCUGCACUUGACUGGGGACCAAACACUCAUGGGUGUAGCGUGUGUUUUCUAGAAUGGUUUGAGCACGGCACUAGUUGAAGGCAGCAAGCCUCCGCUUUGUUAUUCUUGCUACACUUACUAAUGACUCACAAUUUGCUUAGUUUUGAGAGGAGCUAUAAAUAAAGCUGGGACCUGGCUCCAACGCCAUUUAGAUGGAAAGAUCUUUUUAUAA